UGACAUUUGCAAGUGAAUCUGAGUGAUCAA
rnacentral:piRNA from 1 species